CCUACGGGAGGCUGCAGUGAGGAAUAUUGGUCAAUGGGCGCGAGCCUGAACCAGCCAAGUCGCGUGAGGGAUGACGGUCCUACGGAUUGUAAACCUCUUCUGCCGGGGAGCAAGCGUGCGUUCGUGAACGCGCGUCGAGAGUACCCGGAGAAAAAGCAUUGGCUAACUCCGUGCCAGCCGCCGCGGUAAUACGGAGGAUGCGAGCGUUAUCCGGAUUUAUUGGGUUUAAAGGGUGCGUAGGCGGUAUGCCAAGUAAGCGGUAAAAAUGCGGUGCUCAACGCCGUCGAGCCGUUGAAACUGGCGUUCUGGAGUGGGCGAGAAGUAUGCGGAAUGCGUGGUGUAGCGGUGAAAUGCAUAG
rnacentral:rRNA from 1 species